UAGAAGGUGGUGUAGAGGAAGCACCUGGAGUUUUGAUCUCUUGAGUUUGGGUUCGAUUCCCUUCUUUCUAA
rnacentral:tRNA from 1 species